rnacentral:rRNA from 1 species
AAACGUAGGAGGCGAGCGUUAUCCGGAUUUACUGGGUGUAAAGCGCGUGCAGGCGGUUCUGCAAGUGGGACGUGAAAGCGCCCGGCUCAACCGGGCGAGGACGUACCGAACUGCGGGACUAGAGGCAGGUAGAGGCGUGCGGAAUUCCGGGUGUAGUGGUGAAAUGCGUAGAGAUCCGGAGGAACACCAGUGGCGAAGGCGACACGCUGGGCCUGGCCUGACGCUCAGACGCGAAAGCAUGGGGAGCGAACGGGAUUAGAAACCCCGGUAGUCCAUGCCGUAAACGAUGCUGACUAGGUGUGGCGGGUAUGAACUCCUGCCGUGCCGGAGCCAACGUGGUAAGUCAGCCACCUGGGGACUACGGCCGCAAGGUUAAA